rnacentral:misc_RNA from 1 species
GAUGAAGAACGUAGCGAAAUGCGAUACUUGGUGUGAAUUGCAGAAUCCCGUGAACCAUCGAGUCUUUGAACGCAAGUUGCGCCCGAAGCCAUUAGGCCGAGGGCACGCCUGCCUGGGUGUCACACACCGUUACCCUCGCGCCAACGUCCAUCGUUGGCCGCGGCGCGGGGCGUGUGCUGACCUCCCGCGAGCGGGGUCUCGUGGUUGGUUGAAAAUCGAGUUCGCGGUCGAGGGUGCCGUGAUGAAAUGGUGGAUGGGCGACGCCCGAGGCCAAUCACGCGCGACUCUGUCCGGCUCGGGCUCCUGGACCCCUUCGGCGUCUCCGGACGCUCUUUGGCGAGACCUCAGGUCAGGCGGGGCUACCCGCUGAGUUUAAGCAUAUCAAUAAGCGGAGGA